rnacentral:misc_RNA from 1 species
GCUUACAUAUAAAUGCAAUGUCAGUAUGUCCGUGCUUAGAAUUGAUAUAUGCAUAUGGAAGAAACUAAAAGCUAAUAUGCUGUAAAUUUCUUUAGGUGCAACUUUCAAUCGAGGAUUCAACCGAGCACUUGGGAGCUUGCUUGCAGGGAUUUUGGCUAUUGCAGUUGGUCAGUUAGCUCUACUUUGUGGCAGGGUUGCAGAGCCUAUUAUACUGGGAAUUAGCAUCUUUCUCGUUGGGGCUAUUACAUCUUUCAUGAAAUUAUGGCCAUCACUU